rnacentral:rRNA from 1 species
UUCAGGUCCUCGUUUGAGGGCGUGGGUUCGAACCCCACUCCUGACAUUUUUAUUUUUGAUCUUUUCCUAUUUUUUAAAUUUAUAUUAUUUAUUUAUAUUCUUAUGUUAUUACUUUUACAGCCUUUUUUUCAAGUGA